rnacentral:rRNA from 2 species
AGACCCGAAACCCGGUGAUCUAGCCAUGGGCAGGUUGAAGGUUGGGUAACACUAACUGGAGGACCGAACCGACUAAUGUUGAAAAAUUAGCGGAUGACCUGUGGCUGGGGGUGAAAGGCCAAUCAAACCGGGAGAUAGCUGGUUCUCCCCGAAAGCUAUUUAGGUAGCGCCUCGUGAAUUCAUCUCCGGGGGUAGAGCACUGUUUCGGCUAGGGGGCCAUCCCGGCUUACCAACCCGAUGCAAACUGCGAAUACCGGAGAAUGUUAUCACGGGAGACACACGGCGGGUGCUAACGUCCGUCGUGAAGAGGGAAACAACCCAGACCGCCAGCUAAGGUCCCAAAGUCAUGGUUAAGUGGGAAACGAUGUGGGAAGGCCCAGACAGCCAGGAUGUUGGCUUAGAAGCAGCCAUCAUUUAAAGAAAGCGUAAUAGCUCACUGGUCGAGUCGGCCUGCGCGGAAGAUGUAACGGGGCUAAACCAUGCACCGAAGCUGCGGCAGCGACGCUGAUGCGUUGUUGGGUAGGGGAGCGUUCUGUAAGCCUGUGAAGGUGUGUCGUGAGGCAUGCUGGAGGUAUCAGAAGUGCGAAUGCUGACAUAAGUAACGAUAAAGCGGGUGAAAAGCCCGCUCGCCGGAAGACCAAGGGUUCCUGUCCAACGUUAAUCGGGGCAGGGUGAGUCGACCCCUAAGGCGAGGCCGAAAGGCGUAGUCGAUGGGAAACGGGUUAAUAUUCCCGUACUUGGUGUUACUGCGAAGGGGGGACGGAGAAGGCUAUGUUGGCCGGGCGACGGUUGUCCCGGUUUAAGCGUGUAGGUGUGUGUUCCAGGUAAAUCCGGUUCACUUUAACACUGAGGCGUGACGACGAGGCACUACGGUGCUGAAGCAACAAAUGCCCUGCUUCCAGGAAAAGCCUCUAAGCAUCAGGUAACAUCAAAUCGUACCCCAAACCGACACAGGUGGUCAGGUAGAGAAUACCAAGGCGCUUGAGAGAACUCGGGUGAAGGAACUAGGCAAAAUGGUGCCGUAACUUCGGGAGAAGGCACGCUGACAUGUAGGUGAAGUGAUUUACUCAUGGAGCUGAAGUCAGUCGAAGAUACCAGCUGGAUGCAACUGUUUAUUAAAAACACAGCACUGUGCAAACACGAAAGUGGACGUAUACGGUGUGACGCCUGCCCGGUGCCGGAAGGUUAAUUGAUGGGGUCAGCGCAAGCGAAGCUCCUGAUCGAAGCCCCGGUAAACGGCGGCCGUAACUAUAACGGUCCUAAGGUAGCGAAAUUCCUUGUCGGGUAAGUUCCGACCUGCACGAAUGGCGUAAUGAUGGCCAGGCUGUCUCCACCCGAGACUCAGUGAAAUUGAACUCGCUGUGAAGAUGCAGUGUACCCGCGGCAAGACGGAAAGACCCCGUGAACCUUUACUAUAGCUUGACACUGAACAUUGAGCCUUGAUGUGUAG